AAUUUUGGACAAUUGGGGCAACCCUGAUCCAUCCAUUUCGCGUGUUUGAUGAAUGCCUNAGGGUUNGNAAGCACGUUUGGCAGGANAGAAAUCUCGCUGGCUAAUAUCCUGCGUGGAGGACGGUACCUGCAGAAUAAGCACCGGCUAACUACUUGUCAGCAGCCGCGGUAAUACGUAGGGUGCAACCGUUAAUCGGACUUACUGGGCGUAAAGGGUGCGAAGUAGGUUCGGAAAGAAAGAGGUGUAAUGUCAGGGCUAAAGCUUGGAAUGGUAUUCUUAACUACCGGGAUAGAGUGUGUCAGAGGGGGGUAGAAUUCAGCGUGUAGAAGUGAAAUGCGUAGAGGUGCGGAGGAACAACGAUAGCGAUGGCAGCCCCAUGGGAUAACACUGACGCUCAGGCACGAAAGAGUGGGUAGCAAAC
rnacentral:rRNA from 1 species